UACGGGGGGAGCAAGCGUUGUUCGGAUUUACUGGGCGUAAAGGGCGCGUAGGCGGGCUGCCAAGUCCCGGGUGAAAUCCUCCGGCUCAACCGGAGAACGGCCCGAGAUACUGGUGGUCUCGAGGAAGGUAGGGGCAUGCGGAACUAUGCGUGGAGCGGUGAAAUGCGUUGAUAUGCAUAGGAACUCCGGUGGCGAAGGCGGCGUGCUGGACCUUUUCUGACGCUGAGGCGCGAAAGCCAGGGGAGCAAACGGG
rnacentral:rRNA from 1 species